GCUUUCGUAUUGUAACUGGCAGCAUGCUCGGCGCGUAUUCCAGAGGUCCAGGGUUCAAUUCCUGGCGAGGGCA
rnacentral:tRNA from 1 species